CUACAUGACAUCGUGACUUCGCGGUUUUAGCUGUAGGACACCGUAUGGAGUGACUUUUGGGGGAAGACACUGUCAAAAGUUGGAUAUUUGCUGCCACAUAUUACGUGCCCACCAGCAAAUAUCCAACUUUUGAGAGUGUCUUCCCCCAAAAGUCACUUUGCACGGUAUCCUACAGCUAAAACCUCAAGUCA
rnacentral:pre_miRNA from 1 species